rnacentral:rRNA from 1 species
AAUCAACGCUGGCGGCGUGCCUCAGACAUGCAAGUCGAACGCGAAAGUUCCCUUCGGGGAGCGAGUAGAGUGGCGCACGGGUGAGUAACACGUAGGUAAUUUACCUUCGGGUGGGGAAGUAACAGCCGGAAACGGCUGCUAAUACCGCAUAAUGCAGCGGCUCGACAUCGAGACAGUCGUUAAAGCGGGGGAUCGCAAGACCUCGCGCCUGAAGAGAAGCCUGCGGCAGAUUAGCUAGUUGGUGGGGUAAUGGCUCACCAAGGCGACGAUCUGUAGCCGGCCUGAGAGGGCGGUCGGCCACACUGACACUGACAUACGGGUCAGACUCCUACGGGAGGCAGCAGUCGGGAAUUUUGGGCAAUGGGCGAAAGCCUGACCCAGCAACGCCGCGUGAAGGAUGAAAUCCCCUCGGGAUGUAAACUUCGCAAGAAUGGGAAGAAUAAGUGGGGGUGAAU